GUUCCACCUUCCACCCCAUGCAUCAGAUAUUUUGGAGAUUUUCCAUCACCACCAUGGCUGCCGCUUCUUGCUAAUGCACCAACUCAAUCCACAUUCUCGUGAGCACGACUGCAUUUUUGCGAGACGGAUUAAUUUUCCGCAGACGAACCUUGUUUAACUGACCCUGAUUGGUUGACGUGAACACGCACAGAUUGUAUGGAUGGUGUACAGUGAUACCAGUGAGAAUGGAACUACUAUUUCACCCCUGCUUCUAAAUACUACAUUGGCUGAAGGCCCAGUGCUAGAAGUGCAGCGGUGGCAUGGCAUUCCUGACACGGAGACGCAUCCAUGCACGAUGGUGUAUACAGGAGGAUCCAGGACCUCACUCUUACCACUCAAAAAAUAAGAGUUCCAGUUUGAGGACGUUGUUCGCCCAUCAGCAAAUGAUGCCCAAUUAGGAGAAAGCUGAGUAUUUCAAAGCAUUAUGACUGAACAGGGCCCAACUCUGCUUGGCUCUCUGACUUGAAUGGAAACAAUAUACCGCAACUUAGAGAAAGAAGCAACAACUCUACGUGCAAGUUUGUCACUGUACGACCAACCCAGGAUGUAAACCACUGUACACCACAACACACACACACACACUGCCAAAGCCAUCUGAUUGUGUUGUGUCUAUGUCUUUUCUCCUUUGAGGUGGAUAAGGGAUGGGGAAUGACGGUGGGACUCUGGCCUGUGCUAUGAGAACAGUCAUGUGACAUGACAAGGGCAAGACAAAAGAAAAACAUGACAGAUCCAAAAUGAACAGGUAUAAAGACAUUGUAAACAACAGAUAUAUAAUCUAAUAAUUCCAAUUAUAUGGUUGUAACUUGCUCGGAACAUCACAUUCUCCAUAAAACAAUGUUAAU